CAGGUUAUGAUCCAGUAAGAGUGAUAAAACAGCACAUAAAAAACUCAAAGAUGUGGCAGCUGCUAGAAAUCAUAUCCAGAACAAACAUGGAGGCUUCACCAAUGGAUUAAUACAGAGACCUGAAUGCUGGGGGUGCUGAGAGUUAAAAGCUGAAGAUGUGAUGAAAAUGAGAACAUUUUAAAAAUUAA